rnacentral:lncRNA from 1 species
CGCAAGGAAACACAUCUUUUGAAAGCGUCAACGUUGAAUACUGAAUAUUGCAAACAUUUCCUUUUGGUAUUGCUUUUGUUCUGCUUAAAACAAUUCCUGCUUUUCAGUAAUGCAGAGGGAAGAACGCUUUCCUUAAGAGACAUCUCAUUUUCGUUCUGAAGGUUCCCUUUUCUCUAUCCGGGAAGAUACGCUAAGUGAGGCCUUUCAGUCCCUACAGGGCAUUGUUGCAUUUGGAAGCACAGAAGACGUCCAGAGCGCUUGGCAGCAUUAACAGCAGAGCUACCAGCGAGCCCUGACUGUGAGACACUGCCACCCACGAAGCAGCAUGGGCAUUCAUUAGUUCUACCCCAUAGCAGGGGAGCACCGACAGCACAGCCCGGCCUCCUACGCCGGGACCACCAGCUGCUUUCUGUUCUGCACACUGGGCUGCACUUCCUCGCCAUCCUGCCCUGCCUGGAGGGGAGAUGCACACUGGCUCACCGCCCUGACAGCCAGUGGAUGCCACGACCUGACCUCCCCUCUGCCCCGCUCUGCAGGCAGCCCUCCCGAGCCAAGUGUGCUGGGG